GGUUCAGGACGAACGCUGGCGGCGUGCCUAACACAUGCAAGUCGAGCGGAGUCGGUAAGAGGAAGUUUCGGAUGGAAUCUUAUUGAUUUAGCGGCGGACGGGUGAGUAACGCGUGAGCGACCAACCUUGCACAGGGGGAUAACGGACCGAAAGGUUCACUAAUACCGCAUGAGACCACGGUGUUGCAUGACACAGAGGUCAAAGGAGCAAUCCGGUGCAAGACGGGCUCGCGUCCGAUUAGGUAGUUGGAGGGGUAACGGCCCACCAAGCCUAUGAUCGGUAGCCGACCUGAGAGGGUGAUCGGCCGCAUUGGAACUGAGAUACGGUCCAAACUCCUACGGGAGGCAGCAGUGGGGAAUAUUGGGCAAUGGGGGGAAAAACCCCUGACCCAGCAACGCCGCGUGAAGGAAGAAGGUUUUCGGAUUGUAAACUUCUGUCCUUGGUGAAGAGAAGAAGACGGUAGCCAAGGAGGAAGCCCCGGCUAACUACGUGCCAGCAGCCGC
rnacentral:rRNA from 1 species